rnacentral:rRNA from 1 species
AUGGACAACACCCAAUUCGCCAUGAUUGAGGAGCUGGCCUCGCUCAUCAAGGACAACCUCUACAGCAAGCACCUCGUCCUCUCCAUCGAGGAGGCUCUUGUCACUCUCCUGCAGCAACGGUACCACGAUGACGACGACGAGGAGGAACAUGACCGCGCCGCGACCGGAGCGCGUCACGGGCCAGCUGGGAAUACCAUAGAGCUCCAGCCCACCAGCUCAUACAACCGCCUCCUUUUGCAUCGUCUCGCCGACAUUUAUGGGUUUGCUCAUGAAUCUGUUGGCGAGGGCGAGGAUCGGCAUUUGGUUCUCCAGCGCUGCCCUGAAACAGCCAUCCCUCCUGUCCUUGUCAGCGAUGUGUUAUGGAAUUAUGACGACAGUGAUGGCCCUUCAGCCUCUCUUAUGCUAGCGAGAAAUGAGACAGAUCUUCAGAAAACUCAUGAGCCAGAAGAUGUCCAAAACGCUAUUUCUCUUGAAAGCUUGCAUCUGAAAACUGAUACACCAGUUUCGAAGCCUUUGCAGCAGUCGGUGCCACCUUCAGCAGCAUCACUCAAAGAGAGGGAAGCUGCUUAUCGGGCUGCACGUGAGCGAAUCUUCUCUUCGCAUGAAGCCAAGGGAAACGACACAUCAGCAGCAAAAUCUAGGCAUGUUCCUGCUGUUGCUCAACGGAUGAUCGCACAUGCACUUGGUAAGAGAGUUGAAGAUCCAACAGAGAGAGCUGCCUUGGUCAAAGGGAAGGAACUGGUAAAUGGACGAACUAGUCCGACGAGUAAAGAAGCAGUUAAACACAACUCAAGCUCACCUGAUGGUGGUCCGUAUCGGAACCCAUCUACUCGAAGCCGUCCUACACCUACUGUUAGCGCCGAGACGCUGAAGAAAGAACAGACUGGAGCGGCUAAAAGGAUGUUUGCACAUGCAUUGCGGCUCCCUGGCGUUGAAAUACCCAAUGGCGCAGCACGAAAACCCAAGUAA